rnacentral:rRNA from 1 species
UACGUAGGGGGCAAGCGUUGUCCGGAUUUAUUGGGCGUAAAGAGCGUGUAGGCGGCCAGAUAGGUCCGUUGUGAAAACUGGAGGCUUAACCUCCAGCUGUCGAUGGAAACCAUCUGGCUAGAGUCCGGAAGAGGAGAGUGGAAUUCCUGGUGUAGCGGUGAAAUGCGCAGAUAUCAGGAGGAACACCGGUGGCGAAGGCGGGUCUCUGGGCCGAUAUUGACGCUGAGGAGCGAAAGCGUGGGGAGCGAACAGG